AGAGUUUGAUCAUGGCUCAGAACGAACGCUGGCGGCGUGGAUAAGACAUGCAAGUGGGACGCUGGCUGCGAGGUAGCAAUAUUUCGCAGUUGGAGUCGCGAAAGGGUGAGUAACGCGUGGGAAAUUUGCCGCGAAGACUGGAAUAACUCGCUGAAAGGCGAGCUAAUACCGGAUGUGACUCCCGGGGGCAGCACCUGGGUUUCAAAGUUGGGGACCGCAAGGCCUGACACUUCGCGAUAAGCCCGCGACCUAUCAGCUAGUUGGCGGGGUAAAAGCCCACCAAGGCUAAGACGGGUAGCUGGUCUGAGAGGACGACCAGCCACACUGGAACUGAGACACGGCCCAGACACCUACGGGUGGCAGCAGUCGAGAAUUUUUCACAAUGGGCGCAAGCCUGAUGGAGCGACGCCGCGUGGGGGAUGAAGGGCUUCGGCUCGUAAACCCCUGUCAGUCACGAGCAAUUUCUGGGUGUUAAUACCAUUCAGAUUGAUAGUAGUGACAGAGGAAGGGACGGCUAACUCUGUGCCAGCAGCCGCGGUAAUACAGAGGUCCCAAGCGUUGUUCGGAUUUACUGGGCGUAAAGGGUGCGUAGGCGGUUGGGUAAGUUCGAUGUGAAAUCUCCAGGCUUAACUUGGAAAUGGCAUCGAAAACUAUCCAGCUAGAGGAUUGGAGGGGAGACUGGAAUUCUCGGUGUAGCAGUGAAAUGCGUAGGUAUCGAGAGGAACACCAGUGGCGAAGGCGAGUCUCUGGACAAUUCCUGACGCUGAGGCACGAAAGCCAGGGGAGCAAACAGGAUUAGAUACCCUGGUAGUCCUGGCUGUAAACGGUGCACAUUUGCUGUAAGCGGAUUCGACCCCGCUUGUGGCGAAGCUAACGCGUUAAAUGUGCCGCCUGGGGAGUACGGUCGCAAGAUUAAAACUCAAAGGAAUUGACGG
rnacentral:rRNA from 1 species